UUCUUUCGAUUAUUCUCAAAACAAAGUCGUUUUAGGGAUCUAAUAGAGUCGUUAACAAGUGAUAAUGAAUGUUAUAAGUUCUUUUAAUGAAUGAUGACAACAUGUUUAUUUUGGCUUGGUCAACGAAUUUCUCAUGUUUUAAAUGGUAGUCAACGCUUAGUUCAUGUUUAAAAUGGCCACAUAUAAAGUCGAUGUUUAAAAUGGCCACAAUUUAAAACUUGACUAAUAAAGUCGUUAACGGAUGAUAACGGACAUUAGAAGUUCCGUUAAUGACUGAUAACGGCAUGUCUAUUUUGGCCUGGUCAACGAAUAAUCAUGUUUUAAAAGUUAGUCAACGUUUAGUUCAUGUUUUAAACGGCCGCAUACGAAGUUAGUGUAUAAAAUGGCCAUUUUUUAAACGUUGGGGGAUUAAUUGACAUUUUUCCCGAAAAAUAGAACAAAUGUUACUGUAAAUGAUAACCAAAGUAUAGAACAAAUAAUAACAAAAAUUAA
rnacentral:sRNA from 1 species